rnacentral:misc_RNA from 1 species
AUUAUUGUUGUAGUACAAUCCAGAGGAUGGGAAGUGUUGACCAUUUUAUGUUCCUUGCAAGAUUAGAAAGCUGAACAAUGAAAUACUUGAAUCAGACAAUUUAUCAUUGGAACAAAGCACAAAUAAGCCCCUAUAUUUUUGACCAAUGCCCAAACAAGCGUAAAAUGAGCUUUUUGGCCUUAUAAAUCCGGACCUUUUUAUUGAAGCCCGUUUAGGCCCAAAGUUUGACAAGAAAAUGGCACUUGUAG